UACGUAGGUGACAAGCGUUGUCCGGAUUUACUGGGCGUAAAGAGCGCGCAGGCGGUCGUUCAAGUCGAGUGUGAAAGCCCCCGGCUCAACUGGGGAGGGUCAUUCGAUACUGAUCGACUCGAAGGCAGGAGAGGGAAGUGGAAUUCCCGGUGUAGUGGUGAAAUGCGUAGAUAUCGGGAGGAACACCAGUGGCGAAGGCGACUUCCUGGCCUGUUCUUGACGCUGAGGCGCGAAAGCUAGGGAGCAACAGGG
rnacentral:rRNA from 1 species